AUACGUAGGGUGCAAGCGUUAAUCGGAAUUACUGGGCGUAAAGCGUGCGCAGGCGGUUUUGUAAGACAGAGGUGAAAUCCCCGGGCUCAACCUGGGAACUGCCUUUGUGACUGCAAGGCUAGAGUACGGCAGAGGGGGGUGGAAUUUCGCGUGUAGGAGUGAAAAGCGUAGAUAUGCGGAGGAACACCGAUGGCGAAGGCAAUCCCCUGGGCCUGUACUGACGCUCAUGCACGAAAGCGUGGGGAGCAAACAGGAUUAGAUACCCUGGUAGUCCACGCCCUAAACGAUGUCAACUGGUUGUUGGGUCUUCAUUGACUCAGUAACGAAGCUAACGCGUGAAGUUGACCGCCUGGGGAGUACGGCCGCAAGGUUGAAACUCAAAUGAAUCGACGGGG
rnacentral:rRNA from 1 species